AGUUGAGGCCAAAGAAAAUGAACAAGUAGAUGCAAUCUUGAAAUAUUGGUGGGUGCAGAGCCGGAGAAUUUGUUUUCUAGCAUCUUAAUUGGUGUAAAACUAAGCCUUUGAAGCAACCCAAGGCACAACAGAAAGUAUAUGAUGAGGGUGUCAUUAUAAGGAAAUCAAGAAAACAGUUGGAUAAGCAUAAUAAGAUUUGAGUGAACAAGUUGUAGGUAAUUUUUUAUUUCUUAAAUUCUUGUAGAAAAUGUAUCCACUGCCUAUACGCGCAUGAUGAAGUCCGGUGACAUUGAUUGAACAAGAAACGCAAAACAUGCUCAAUUUUGAUCCCAAAUUGUAGAGACAGACUUGUUAUCUAUAGUUUAUUUUGUUAAAUUUCAGUCAUCUUACAUCUGUAAUUGUAUCGAUUGAUUGUAUGGAUGAAUCCAUAUGUGAUGC